rnacentral:lncRNA from 1 species
AGCACUUUCACUUCUGUUCCUUCUCUCACAGGAGUCACUCGAGAGCCCUCAAACAUCACCCAGAAGGAACCUUGGCCUCCCGUGUUUGCAGAUCAGGAGAGCACAGCGCAGAAAUGUCUAGAAACGUUCUCAGAUUCGCACGGGACUUUUCAGUUGAGGUCGAGAUUCUGCUCCAGGCUUCCUGAUGUCAGAGUUCCACCAGCCAGAUGCUCUCCCAGUGUCGGCUGGGCUCACACACCGAGUUUGAAGGACUGGAGGUCUCUUGGGAAAUGUGUCUUUAACAACGCCAGAAUCCUUGGAUGUGGGCACAGGGGCAGGAGGAUGUUGGUGAGAACAUCUGUUAAGAGCCAGCUCUUCCCUUCGUCCUCUCUUGUUGACAAGGGAGGUGGUAUUCAGGACUUUGGUGAGUAUACCCUCUAAGCUUAGAUUUUAGUCUUCCUAUCAGUUAUCACGCAUAUAAGGAUGUAUGUAUAUGACGUUACAUAUAUGUAAUAUCUAUGAACAUAUAUACAUGGUUUGCUUUUAAGUGUCUGAAUUUCCCUAAGGGUUUUAUACUUGCUUCCAGAACAUUCUCCGAUUAUUUCCCCUGCAAUCCAUUGUCCCUAGAUGAUUGUAAGUUUCCCUGUGUGCUUCCUCUUCCUAGUUACCAGCCACUGGUAUUCGUGACUUUAAACCUGAC